CCCUAAAAAAUAGUCUCNGUUCNGAUUGCAGGCUGCAACUCGCCUGCAUNAAGUCGGAAUUGCUAGUAAUCGCAGAUCAGCAUGCUGCGGUGAAUACGUUCCCGGGCCUUGUACACACCGCCCGUCACACCAUGGGAGUCGGUAACACCCGAAGUCGGUAGCCUAACCGUAAGGAGGGCGCCGCCGAAGGUGGGAUUGAUGACUGGGGUGAAGUCGUAACAAGGUAGC
rnacentral:rRNA from 1 species